rnacentral:rRNA from 1 species
UACGUAGGGCGCAAGCGUUGUCCGGAAUUAUUGGGCGUAAAGAGCUCGUAGGCGGUUUGUCGCGUCUGCUGUGAAAACCUAAGGCUCAACCUUGGGCUUGCAGUGGGUACGGGCAGACUAGAGUGCGGUAGGGGUGACUGGGAAUUCCUGGUGUAGCGGUGGAAUGCGCAGAUAUCAGGAGGAACACCGAUGGCGAAGGCAGGUCUCUGGGCCGAUACUG